ACUGUUCGCACUUGUAACUGCUGUGUUAUUUGUGUUGCGGUUAAACUUUGUUUAUAAUAACACAAAUUACUUACAAAACUAACAAAAUCGACAAAAUAAAAGAUGUUGCUUGUCCAUAGGUUCAUCUAUAUCAAAAAUGUAAUGGACUGCUCACAGUUUAUAUUUUU
rnacentral:telomerase_RNA from 1 species